UAACAUAUCAGUGAUAACUGCCACAUCCAGAAAGAUUGUCUCAUUCUCAGUUUUCAAUGGUGAUAAUUAUUGAAAAAUUUGUGUGCAAUUGAUUGCAUCCAAGUUCAUGUUACAAUAUGUAUUGCAAGGGUAAAAAUCCACAAUUACUUGUACUUUUAAUGUUUUAAUCGUUGCCUUGAAGCUUUCUUUUCUUGUUCUUGUGUGCACCACUGCUUUCAUGCUUAAGACUCUAAAUUGAAGACUAUCAUAAACAAGGUAUGAAAGGUUUUUUUCAAUAUUCUUGAACUAAAAUGAGAUUAUAAGUCAAAACUUAACAAAAAUUGCUCCACCAGAUAUUGCUUUUAUGCAAUCAGCAGUCAUUGUUCAUUGGUGCAGGUCCUUUGUUUUAAUUCGGUUUCGAUUAGUUUUGGGUUUAGGCACAGAGUGACGAUCGGUUUUGUGAGAUAGUUUUGUGUUGAAGGAGGUAAUGAAUCGUGCGCGUGGGUAUCAUCACAUUUGAUAAAAACAAAGCAGCGCCACUUCGAUUGAAGACAUGACAUAUGCUUACCAGUUCAAGCACAUCAUAAUCUUCGAUACUGGACCAGGUUGUUUCUGGAUUACCCCUUAAUCAACACUUUUUGAGGUUCAAUGUUGAUGCGUUGCAGACAGUAAACUGCCAAAGAUUGCGGAAAGAAGAGCCUUUGACAACAAGCAACCAGCUGGAGCAAAAUUAGCAAACAAGCUAUCUGGAGUUUUGGAAGAACAACACAUGCAAAUUAAAUAAAUGGCAAAGAGAUGCAUAAUGGAUAUUCCUUGACAAGGAUCUAAGCUGAUAUAGGCGAGAUAGGUGAAUGUUCUUCAACCCAAGAGAAAUGACUACCCAAGUCUUUUUAUGAAGGUUAAAUGCCUAAAAAACUAUGGUGUUCAUCAGUGACCUGAGCCACUAUUAUUGUUUUCUGAUGAGUUUGGGGGUUGAGUUUCUUGCAAGAAAAGUUGAUUCUCUGUAGUUUAUAUUUCAGUUCUUAUUCAUUCUCAAUUAUUCGAUGCUA